GGCCGUCUACCAUUGAAGUAAAAGUAAUUCACAAUUUUGGGACAAAACUUAGCCAAGAGAUAGAACGAAACAAAUAUACAUAUCUUGACAUACGUACUUUAAAUUUUUACAAUGACUAACGAACUAAAUAAUUUAAGAGUAAAAUAUUAUCCCAAAUUCACAUCAAGCAAUUUGACUUAACUUUCUAACAAGAAAUCAAAGAUUAACUAGAAAAACUCAUAACUAGAGCUAGAAAGAAGCUAAAAAGAUUAAUCCGCUAUAUGAUAUAUCCAGGCCAUCAUCUUUGAGACCUUUGAAAGACUUAGAAGUGGUCAAGUCCUUGAAAGAAGAAAGCGAUGGUUCACCGCCGGCAGGUAAGUCGGCGAGAGCGACGACGAUCCGGCGAAUGCUUAAAGAACGAGCUGUUUUAAAGCUGUAUGAUAUUUGUGUAUUGGAGAAUACAUUUGAAGAUUUUAUCAGAAUCAAAUAACCAAAGCUUGGACCAAGGCAAAGAGACCCACCUUUACCAAUAUACUUCCCUCAAUCUCCAUUACUGAUGCAAUUUCAAUAGAGUUACUACAUUCUUGUAAAUUAAAAGAGUAUGAAGCUGCUGUGAGAUAAAGUAAGUUGUUAAGUAGAAGAAAUAUAUGAGAAGUGAGA
rnacentral:lncRNA from 1 species